GACGAACGCUGGCGGCGUGCUUAACACAUGCAGGUCGAAUGGAAAGGCCCUGCUUGCAGGGUACUCGAGUGGCGAACGGGUGAGUAACACGUGGGUGAUCUGCCCUGCACUUCGGGAUAAGCCUGGGAAACUGGGUCUAAUACCGGAUAGGAGCCAUUUUUAGUGUGAUGGUUGGAAAGUUUUUUCGGUGUAGGAUGAGCUCGCGGCCUAUCAGCUUGUUGGUGGGGUAAUGGCCUACCAAGGCGGCGACGGGUAGCCGGCCUGAGAGGGUGGACGGCCACAUUGGGACUGAGAUACGGCCCAGACUCCUACGGGAGGCAGCAGUGGGGAAUAUUGCACAAUGGGCGCAAGCCUGAUGCAGCGACGCCGCGUGGGGGAUGACGGCCUUCGGGUUGUAAACUCCUUUCGCUAGGGACGAAGCUUUUGUGACGGUACCUAGAGAAGAAGCACCGGCUAACUACGUG
rnacentral:rRNA from 1 species